GACAGAGGGUGCAAGCGUUGUUCGGAAUUAUUGGGCGUAAAGGGCGCGUAGGUGGCCUUGUAAGUCAGAUGUGAAAUCUUUGGGCUUAACCCAAAAAGUGCAUCUGAUACUGCUCGGCUUGAGUCCUGGAGAGGAUGGUGGAAUUCCCAGUGUAGAGGUGAAAUUCGUAGAUAUUGGGAGGAACACCGGUGGCGAAGGCGACCAUCUGGACAGAGACUGACACUGAGGCGCGAAAGCGUGGGGAGCAGACAGG
rnacentral:rRNA from 1 species